GCCUUUCGGCUCCGCGCAGCACCUCCAGGUGUGCGUGGAAGCUUCCGGGCUCGCGCUCGUCGCGGAAGCCCUGCCUUUCCCGCGCUGUCUCGGAGCAAUCCCGCAGACGUCUAAAGAGUUCGCUCCUGCACCUAGCGAUGUGCUCCUCGAGACAGUCUCCGGAGAGAGAAGAUGCGAACUACACUGUUAUUCCCACCUAGAGAACACUACCGGUAACCAUCAACAGCUGGAAUCGAAGUCAGGAUCAUCAACUCAAAUUGAGGAAGUCCGGGUAUCAGGAGAAGUCCCCCGAUACACCUGUGAGGUGCUGAGAAACUGCAGUGGCACAAGGGGCCGGUGCUGGCACGGAGCAGCCGGGGUCCAGGCGACCCCCAGGUGUUCUCAGAUCGAGACUGGAUUACGACAUCCCCUCUGAAGCCUAAUGGACACAAGCAGUUGAACAAGAGGACUUUUGAAAAAGAAAAUACCAACCUGUGAAUUGAAAUGCAGAUGGAAAGAGAACAUGUAUCCCAGCACUAUGAAAGUCAAACAUGAUGCCAAAAUAAAGUGCAAUGCUGCCAAAAAUUGAAAAAGCAUUCACAAAGGUCCAGUAAGAAGUAUCCAAGCCAAUCUGUUGGGAAACCAGAGAAAGAGCACUCAUUUUGGGGAGUCACCAAGAAAUAUAGGAUCCAAGGAUUCUGAAAACAGAAUUCAGCAAUUUAAGCAUGGUCUGGCUUGAAUACUAAACAAACAGAAACUGCCCUCGGCUCAGUUUGCAGAUAAGCUCCAAGAGGUAUGAAGAAGAGGACCAUCGAUGUUAAAAUUCCAUGCACCAAGCUUACGAAGAAUCUCUUAUAGUUGAAAAGUGCUCGGUCUGCCCUGACGUGUCCCUGUGAGCACGAGGUCCUACCUGGUCAAGCAGCCCCAUGAGGAGCACGGGCAGGCUGGAGUAGAGCACGUUGUAGAGCGUGAUGAACCAGUCCUCGUACGCCGUCUGUGGGGAGGUUAGAGUCUGCGUCACAAACCAAGACCUGCUGCUGGCCUAGUCAAUGCACAUGCAUUCUUUCUCAACUGGGAGGCCCCCAGCAUGCGUGGGGGCUUCUGCCAGAGUAAACCCCACUCCUCUGCAUCUGCCGAAGGUGUGAGUUGGGUUCAACGGAAUGGGCAGAAUCCACACUCCGCAGAACAGACCUUCCUUCUAAAAUGAAUGGGAGAACAUACACCAAAACAUUUUUUGGGAAGGGAGUCCGUCCAUUCUAUGUGAAGAAUGCUGGAAAAUAUGUUGGUGCCUAUCCUUUCUGUAUCCCUUUGUUAACAAAUUCGGAGUACAUAAACCCACAGACCGGCCCAAGAAGCACAUAAGGUGUCAUUCGAAUGUUCUUUGCUUUUACUUUGCAAGUCCAGCAUUUCUAUUUAAACAUUUUGUGAAGCAGAAUUUGAAUUUUAAAAACAGGCGCCUGGGUGGCUCCGUCGGUUAGGCGUCUGACUUCGGCUCGGGUCAUGAUCUCACAGUCCGUGAGUUCGAGCCCUGCGUCAGGCUCUGUGCUGUCAGUGCAGAACCUGCUUCGGAUCCUCUGUCCCCCUUCUCUCUCUGCCCUUCCCGCCUUGCUCUCUCUCAGAAAUAAACGUUUAAAAAAAAUACGCUUCUGAAAAGGAUGCACAGGGUUUGCGCGCACACACACAUCCUCAGGGUGGCAGAGAGGAAACAGGCCUGCUGGUCACCACCAGUGGUGGUGGUCCUGCAUGGGAGCAGGAAGAAGGCCCUCGUGUGUUCAAGGUUGCUCCUGACCCACGGUUCCCAAGGCUCCUCUGAUAUCAUUUGAGGCACACCAUCAGAAGUUUGGACAACCACAGGCGCUGACAGGUUCAAUUUUACUAGUGAUGCUUUUCUGCCGUAUCACCGUUUUAACAUAUAUGACCCCCACUCCCAUUUCAGCCAUAACUUAAAAAAAAGAAAAGAUUGAGAACAGAUCUGUGAUCAUCCAAAAUUUAGAUAAUCCCUUUAGCCUUGAUCACAAUAGCAUUGUUGAUUUGCUAUCAAAGUUGAAUAAUUUAUCAUUAUUCCUUAAGUUUAUUUAUUUUGAGAGAGCAAGCAAGCACGGGAGGGACAGAGAGAGGGGGAGAGAGAGAAUC